CAUAUCUGGACCUGAGCGAAUGUAUCUCAGCGUGAGUCAUGUUAAUCUCUGUUAAUUAACUUUUAACGACAUAAUUUACGAGUCUAGAGACCAAGAUACACCUGUAUCAGAGUUACUACUUAAACACCCAGUACCUCGCUGUCAUUCACCACUUCUAGAAAGCAGUACCAUCACAUGAUGAUGCAAGGUGUGAUAAUGGUUCCUCUGGCAAAAUUUACAUUUAGUUAGGUCUUCAUCAGCUGGUGGUGAAAACUGCUAGAGGUACCUGUAGCCCAGCCGAAGCUGAGCAGAAUCGGCAUCCAAGAAUCUGCUGAUUUUUGUUGCCUGUGCCAUAGGCAUUUCGCUCCUGGAUGGGGCAGUUUCAAAUUCUAAACAAAAACCUUCGAGUAAAAAUCAGGCAACCAUAACUGAUUCGACGUAGUUUUUUUUUAGUCGGAGAGUAGCAAGAAUGAAUCGAUACACCCAGCAUGCAACAACGUUUGUCUCAUUUUCAGUGCUUAUACUCCCAGAAAUACCGAGUUCAGUAUUUCUGGGUGUGAAGACAUAGGAGGCUUUGUGUUAAUGUAGGCUUGACUGAGACAAAAUAAUUUAUUAAGCAAUCGUGCGAGUACCUAGGAAUGCCUGUUCUAUUAUUUUGCUAGAUUAAUACAUUAAUUCCACUGUGAUAGUGUAGAACAGAAAUUCCAUUGUAGUAGGCUAGACGAAUUCCGCUUUACUAAGGUAGAACACGACCUCCUCAGGAAUUAAUUCACGCCUUGGCAUUACCGGGAAAAAAACAGUACAGGGAGGAAACCAUAGGUAUUCUAAGUGUCAUAGUACUAGCAUUGGUGCCUCUUCACCUCGUGACAUAUGUGGCAGGAAAGUGGUCUGGUCUCUUCUUGAAAACUACCUCUCUUUUUACAGCAUUUUUUUUUUGUUUCUGAUAUCAGUAUCAGGUUGCAGAGUUUUCUUGUCACACAGUACCGAAGAAAACAUAGGUACUGCAAUAUUGCCAUAGUAUCAGAAGGCAGCAUUAGUCACACAGUACCCAAGAAAACAUAGGUACCCCUUCCUUAUAGUAUCAAGAAGCAGCAUUUGUACCCCACACAGUGCCCUCGAAAUCCUGCUUUGCACAGUUACAGAGAUCCAGCUGGGUGAGUACAAGUGUCUGGCUGAGUGUGCACGGAUCGUUGUUGUGUGAGGGUUCAUGUGUACUGGCUGCUGCGUCAGUGGACCACCGACCUUGGGUGUGGCGCCCCC